rnacentral:tRNA from 1 species
GGGCGGUUGGCUCAGUGGAUAGAGCGCCUCCCUCACACGGAGGAGGUCACAGGUUCAAGUCCUGUACCGCCCA